AAGAUCAUACUUCACAGGAUCAUUUCUGUAGUAUAUCUUCACAUACUCUACAUUCAAUUGUGGAGUUGUUGCAACCGUGAUGAUGAUAUGUAGCGUUGCGAUCUGAGCGUGAGAAGGAUUGAUUCUAAGACUUUGUAGGACUUGGAUGAAGUCAUCGAUGAUCGUUCGUCUAAUCUCUUGGGAUUAGAUUAUGGUUGUGAUGCAAUCCGAGCGGU
rnacentral:snoRNA from 1 species